GGCGGCGUGCCUAAUACAUGCAAGUAGAACGCUGAAGAGAGGAGCUUGCUCUUCUUGGAUGAGUUGCGAACGGGUGAGUAACGCGUAGGUAACCUGCCUUGUAGCGGGGGAUAACUAUUGGAAACGAUAGCUAAUACCGCAUAACAAUGGAUGACACAUGUCAUUUAUUUGAAAGGGGCAAUUGUUCCACUACAAGAUGGACCUGCGUUGUAUUAGCUAGUAGGUGAGUAAAAGCCCACCAAGGCGACGAUCGGUAGCUGGUCUGAGAGGACGAUCAGCCACGUCGACGCGGCCG
rnacentral:rRNA from 1 species